AGAGUUUGAUCCUGGCUCAGAACGAACGCUGGCGGCGUGCCUAACACAUGCAAGUCGAACGUGAUCCAGAGCUUGCUCUGGUGAAAGUGGCGCACGGGUGAGUAACGCGUAGAUAAUCUACCUGAUGAUCCGGGAUAACACUUCGAAAGGGGUGCUAAUACCUGAUAAGCCCACGGGGUCUUCGGACUCUGCGGGAAAAGGGGGGGACCUUAGGGCCUUCCGUCAUCAGAUGAGUCUGCGUACCAUUAGCUAGUUGGUAGGGUAAAGGCCUACCAAGGCGACGAUGGUUAGCUGGUCUGAGAGGAUGAUCAGCCACACUGGAACUGAGACACGGUCCAGACUCCUACGGGAGGCAGCAGUGGGGAAUUUUGCGCAAUGGGGGAAACCCUGACGCAGCAACGCCGCGUGAGUGAUGAAGGCCCUUGGGUCGUAAAGCUCUGACAGAGGGAAAGAAGUGUAGAGUGGCUAAUAUCCACAUUACUUGACGGUACCCUCAAAGGAAGCACCGGCUAACUCCGUGCCAGCAGCCGCGGUAAUACGGGGGGUGCAAGCGUUGUUCGGAUUUAUUGGGCGUAAAGCGCGUGUAGGCGGUUUUAUAAGUCUGAUGUGAAAGCCCUGGGCUCAACCCGGGAAGUGCAUUGGAUACUGUAAGACUUGAAUACGGGAGAGGGUAGUGGAAUUCCUAGUGUAGGAGUGAAAUCCGUAGAUAUUAGGAGGAACACCGGUGGCGAAGGCGGCUACCUGGACCGAUAUUGACGCUGAGACGCGAAAGCGUGGGUAGCAAACAGGAUUAGAUACCCUGGUAGUCC
rnacentral:rRNA from 1 species